AUAGGCUGAAGCCGUGGUUAAUAUUCUAUAAUGGUAAAUCAGUCAAGUGUAAAUGGUAGAGCAAUAAGUACAUACAGUGUAUUUUAUACUAUCUUUACAGGUCAGCACUUCAAGCAGUACGACCUGGUGGAACUGUGGUGUACUCAACUUGUACUCUGUCACCUUUACAGAAUGAUGGUGUUGUACAUCUAGCACUUUCUAGAAUAUGGCAAGAGACCACCAUUGAAUGCUCUGUUGUGGAUAUGACUUAUGCAGUUCGAUCAUUGAGUUUCCUGUAUCGCUUUGGAAAUAAUUUGGGCUUGCGCUAUGGUCAGGUUGUUCUGCCAUCACUUCUCUCUAAUUUUGGUCCUAUGUAUUGUGCUAAAAUAAGACGAUUAAAAUAAAAAUGUGAAGUUCCUAGUAAGCUGCCAAGGUAAGUCCAUUAUUCAAAUAAAACUAGAGAGGAAGAUAUGAUACUAGUGUAUUACUUUUCAUGUCUCAUUCUUUCAAAAAAUAUUUGAAAUUAUUUGUAAACCAAAUGUAUUGCCAUGUUUUUGAUUGUAAGAAUAUAUGAAUCAUGUAAAUACUGUAUAGAUUUCUAGAGCUUUUAAAUUUUUUCUCAUGUUUUGAUAAAA